rnacentral:lncRNA from 1 species
CUAAUCCUAUUGUUGUCAUGGAAUCGUUUUAUCACAUGAUUAAUCUGAGUCUGGCUAACUUGGCUGAGGAACUUCAAAUUCCAUGCCAGUGACUGAUCAAAAUGAAGAAGAUAUAUUUUGCAAAGGAAGCGCUAGCGAUAGCUGAGGACCAUCUUUGUGCCAAUGUUGAAGAGGCUCAUGGACCAACUGGAGUGCGUUUAGGAAGUUUUGAUGACUGUGAGGAUCCAAAACACUUCAUCUGAUCUCAACAGCACAUGUUUGAAUGAUUUAAAUGUUGUAUUUCCAAUUGCGUCUUCUUUUUGUAUGCACUCGAGGUUCAACCUCUCUGUCAGUCAAAUGUGUAGCUGGCUGAUUCUUUUGUAUGUCAUCCUGAUGCAGAGGUGUUUGAUGCCAUUGCAUUCUAAUGUUAUCACACCUGAACUCAGUGAGGCUCUGCAGAGGGAGGUAUGCACUACUAGUCAUACCAUAACAAUGAAAAAAUAACCUAUGUGCUUAUACUAUAUGAGCUAUGGAAUUUCACCUGAAAAUCAGUAAGCAAGUAUGCAUGAGGACAAUCUCCUCCAUUUCUAUCAGUUUAUCAAUGCGAUACGAUCCAUUGAAUAUUGUCAUAUAGGAUUCUGAUUUUUCUUUUUUCAAUUUGAUAAGCUCAGUUCUCAUGCGACGUCGACUUUGUAAAGUUGAAAUUCACCUCCUAGCAAAUUUUAUUGUACCGCUGAUUUUGUUGAUGGGAUAUUGCGAAAUAACCAUGUAACAAAUUCAUCUUUCUGGGGGUGCAGUCUGAGCACCUCAUGUUGGGGGCAUAAUUUUAUUAACGAGGAAAGUGUUGCUAGUUGCUUUCGUCUCCAAAGCUGAAGUGCACUUUCAUCUUUGUGUUCCUAACCAUAAACAAGCAAAGUGUUGCUAGUUGCUUUCGUCUCCAAAGCCUGUUGUUUUCUUUUUCAUUGGCCAGCUGAUGAGGUUUUUGUUCAUUGUUGUCCAACUGCAAUUGGGGCAAAUGAUGCUUUGUGCAUUUGCACCUUAUCUUUCAUGGUGUAUAUUGUGAUGCUCCGAUCUUAGUUAUCUUCAUUCAUUGAUAAUUAGUAAAUCCUAUCCUUCUUGUGUAGAUUCAACUCUUAUUUCAUAAAAUUCAGAUAGCAUCCCCAAACAUCACAGGAAGGAGAUGUGGGCAGGAAUGAGAUAUGUCAUGAGACGUUAUGGAAAGGCGUUCCAAAGUUCUUCACCAUUGGUGCUUAUAAUGUGCUCCAUGUUGUUGAUAUUUUUCUUAUGAUUCAUAAUAUAAAGGGACCUCUUAUAAUGUGUAGUUGUCCUUUGCAAGCUUUGAAAUCGUGCUAUUAUUU